ensembl:lncRNA novel transcript
UUCCUCUCCCAGGUGCGCUUCCCUGCUUGAUCUGUGUACCCUGCUCUUUCUCCUUCAUUCCGCAGCCUCCUUUGCCCUGUGACCUGCAGGUACUGGACGGUCCCUAGAGAGGAUACCGGGACGCUCCUGAAGCCGCGAGAUGGAUGGGUCUUCCAUGAUACUGAAGGGAGAGCCACAUGUUGAUGCCCAGGACCAGCUGCCUCCUUGGUCUGAAAGGCCUGAUCGAGGCCAGGAUUGGCUAUGAGAGCUGGGAAAUGGGACCAUCUUUGAAGCCAUGGGAGAGGGUGAGAGCCACCAUCACUCAUGUUCUUGAAUGGGAACUGCCUGGAGACCCUGAAGAAGAAGGAGCCUGAAGGAGGAAGGAGGAGGCUGAGCCAUCCCGGGAACAUGGGCUGGAUGAGGCCAAGCCAGGAGACGACACCACCAGAUAGAAGUCACCAUUCAGGAUUUGGACUUUUCUGUGGAGAUCCUGGCCCCGAGAUCGAACCCUUCUCCCUGUGGGUGUUCCCGCAGGAGAUGGUGCUGGAGAUCCACCAGCUGUUCAUGGACCAUGAAUACCCAUGUCACCACAUCACUUCUCACUGCACCUGGGUGGCAGCACACUGGACCACGUCUCAGAGCUGCGCAGCAUGGCAGGGCUGCAGGCGGGCUUGCUGCUCCACGUGGUGGAAGAGCCCUGCACAAUGCACAAGGCCCACGGUGAUGAGUGCCACAUUUGAGACUGCUCAGGAGCCUGGACCCAGCUGAUGCAGCUCCUUGUCCUUCCUGAGCGUCUUCACUGACAGUGGCCUGAGAGACGGCAGGAGCAGAAAGACUUGGAGAUGGACCCCACCGACUGCACACCACCCAAGUACAUCCUGCUAGGGACCCUGGAACAGCCACUGUGUCCCCUGCAACCCCAGAACGGUGACUAAAAGCCCCUGAAAGUGCUCACCGUGAGCGGCUGGUACCUGUCCCCUGGGAACUGCAAGAUGCACAGGACCUUGUGUACCUGUUUGUGAUCACAGCCGAGGACCAGCGAGGUAGCAUUACCACAUCCACACAGGGCUUUUACCAUAACUGGGCAGCAUCUCAGGGCCAGGAGAACCCAGAGCAGCCCCAGUACUGGAACGAGGAGCUGCAGAUGAUGAGGGACCUACCCAACAAGAACCAACCUGAGCAGCUGCUUCAAGAAAAAGCCAUGUUCAAGGUGCCUGAAUCCCCUGGUAAGUGAGUGACAGCCUCACAGCCUCAGGCCCACCUGGCUCCUGCUGGAAGGUUUUCUUGUGCUCGGGAGAGAAGUGAGGGAAGCCGGCAGUCCCAGCCCUGUCAGGUGCCCUGAAGGCCCGUCAGGUUUGCCCUGCAAGGCCUUCUAGCAUUCUGCUUCCUGGGAGACCAUCCCCCACCUUUCUCCGGCCUCUGAGACUUUGAGUCCUUGGGAGGAGAAGGCCCUCCUUGCUAUCUGGGCUGAGUGGCCAGGGCCAUCCAGCUUCCCACCCUCCACUGACUGCCAUGGGGCCCUCCCCUGAGCACAUGGUGCCCAACUGUAGCCCUUCUAGGGCAGGGGCUCAUUGGCAGCACUUGCAGCUUGCUGGCACUUAAAAGUCAUUAGUGCGGUUACUGAGAGAAAUGAGGAAAAAAUAAUUGUUAAAAAAAAAAAAAAA